AAAUUAGUGGGAUUUCUUCUAUUCUGUCUUCCAAAGAUAAGUAGUGACUGCAUCGUGAGUACAAGAGUGCUUCGUAGAUAAUGGUGUAUGUGUCCUGUGUAUGCUAGAUUAGUAUUUGGGAUUUGGGAUCAAUUUUUUUUUUAUUAUGUUAUAUUGGUAACUUAAUCUGGAAAAUUUUUUUGAAGUAAACAUCUGACAUUUUAGUUCUGAGGAACUGGCAUUUCUUUUGAAAGUAGUGUGGAAUUGAUGGGGUUGCUACAAGUAUUGUUAUUUUUCCCCCAUGUGAAUAGUAACAUAUUUUAAGUCAUUUAAACAUUUGAUGGAAGGAAUAAAUUUAUUUUAGCUGGUUUUUUUCAUUGAAUAAGGUGUUGAUUUAAUGGAUCAUAUUCUGAGCCCUUUCUUUGCUGUUGGUUGUGGUGUUGGAUACUAUCCCUUUUCUACACAGGGAACUAUUUUAUUUGUUUUACUUUUUAAACUAGAGCUAGGAACAAUGGCAUCUGUGGCUGUAGAAAGCUUUCUUGGAAUAGACUGCUUAUUGACGUUCAAUUACUCUUCUAAAAAGUUUAUUUCACAAUCAAAUGUAAAACAUGCACUGUUAUUUAAUUCAGGACUCUCCAUCUCUGUUUCUAAUAGGGUAAUUUUUAGCAUUGAGCUACUGCUAGCAGUUGUGAUGUAGGACAGUUUGUGUGGUUGUCGUGAAUAAUUGCUAGAAUUUAGGUUAUUCAAGCACUAAACUUCCACAAAAUCUUAACAGCAUAUUACUUCAGAUUUGUCCUAUGCAAGCAGUUGGUAACUCCUGGUGAACUUAGGUGACUUGGGUUGUAGGAGCUAGGUCCA
rnacentral:misc_RNA from 1 species